rnacentral:lncRNA from 1 species
GGUUAUCCUAAUUUCUAAAUCACAAACCCAAAUCUACAGUAUUUCCCUAAAAAAUAAAAAAUUUCCAAAAAUAGCAGUUUUUAAGAAAAUUAUUUUCAAAUACAAGCUAUAGAUGAAAAAUUCAGAAAGAAUACUCAUAUAUCCACAAAUAUUCUUGUUAUCCUAAUUUCUAAAUCACAAACCCUAAUCUACUGUAUUUUCUCAAAAAAUGAAAACUUUCCAAAAAUAGCAGUUUUUAAGAAAAUUAUUUAAAAAUACAACCUAUUGAUGAAAAUUUCAGAAAGAAUAAUCAUCUAUCCACAAAUAUUCUUGUUAUGCUAAUUUCUAAAUCAC